ensembl:lncRNA
UUUUUAUUGGUCGUCAUGAAAAAAAACAUAAGGGGUAGCACUGUUGUUUUUUAUUGGUCGUCAUGAAAAAAAACAUAAAGGGUAACGCUGUUGUUUUUGAUUGGUCGUCAUGAAAAAAAAACAUAAGGGGUAACACUGUUGUUUUUUAUUGGUCGUCAUGAAAAAAACAUAAAGGAGGUAACACUGUUGUUUUUUAUUGGUCGUCAUGAAAAAAAACAUAAGGGGAAACACUGUUGUUUUUUAUUGGUCAUCAUGAAAAAAAACAUAUAAAAAAAAAAAAAAUUGUCCUUCUCAAAUAAAAUAUAAGGGGUGU